GUAGAUUUGAGCUUAGAAAAGCUUAACAUGCCUAAAUGCCUAAUAAGAGAACUUCGACACAAAUUCCUUCAACAGAUAAGCAAAUUUCCAAUGUGCUAAUAGCGUAUGGAAUGUUCAAGCUAACUGCCGACGAACUUGAAACGUGGCUUGUUCAAUUCAGAUUCAGAAGGAAUGAUUCUAUCACCCGUCUCCAAACACACACCAGUUAAGACUUCAAUAUGAUCGGAUGCUCUGCUUGAAUGGAAGAGACCUCCU
rnacentral:misc_RNA from 1 species